UGGGGAAUUUUGGACAAUGGGCGCAAGCCUGAUCCAGCCAUUCCGCGUGCAGGAUGAAGGCCCUCGGGUUGUAAACUGCUUUUGUACGGAACGAAAAGGCUUUCUCUAAUACAGAGAGCUCAUGACGGUACCGUAAGAAUAAGCACCGGCUAACUACGUGCCAGCAGCCGCGGUAAUACGUAGGGUGCGAGCGUUAAUCGGAAUUACUGGGCGUAAAGCGUGCGCAGGCGGUGAUGUAAGACAGGUGUGAAAUCCCCGAGCUUAACUUGGGAAUUGCAUUUGUGACUGCAUGGCUAGAGUGUGUCAGAGGGAGGUGGAAUUCCACGUGUAGCAGUGAAAUGCGUAGAUAUAAGGAGGAAUACCGAUGGCGUAGGCAGGUAACUGGCUCGUCCCUGACACUAAGGCACGAAAGCGUGGGUAGCAAACG
rnacentral:rRNA from 1 species